AGUCAAUGAUGAGGCUUGAAAUUUUUUUCUGAAUCUACUGCUGAUGUGGUCUUAACAGCUCUAGAAUUACUCUGAGACUUG